rnacentral:rRNA from 1 species
CGAGUGAAGAGGGAUAAGCCCAGCACCGAAGGUGAUAUCCAUUUGGGUAUUUACCAAUGUGGUGUCAAGGUCUGCUCUAAUGGGUGCGGCUCCAUCUCAAGUCCAGCAAUGAAAACGGUUUUUUGGACUUGGCCCAGAGUGGGUGAAAGGCCCGUCGAGGUGGAGUUCAAUUAUGUCUGUGCCCAUUGAGUUUGACCACGGAGUCGGGUUGUUUGUGAAUGCAGCCCAAAGUGGGUGGUAAACUCCAUCCAAGGCUAAAUACUUACACGAGUCCGAUAGCGAACAAGUACCGUGAGGGAAAGUUGAAAAGUACUUUGAAGAGAGAGUAAACAGUGCGUGAAGCCGCAUAGAGGUUAAACGGGUAGAGUUAAGCUGCGUGGGUCACGGAUUCAGCUGGUGAAUUUGAUUUGUACUUGGACAUGUCGUUUCGUCUUCUGAGUCUGCUUAGCUGCAGGUCCUUAUGGAUUCGCGAAGCACUUCUUAAGUGUUGCGUGCUCAGUUGACUUGAUAUCGGUUCGCCAGUGCACUUCCAUGGCCCCAGGACCACGAACGGUGUGGCUGGUUUGCUUUCGUUGUCAAACUGUGAAUGCAGGUUCGCCUAUGUUCUCAGUGUGAUUGUAACCCUGUGGAUACAGGUGCAGUUGUCAACGUGAGGCAUUCUAGUGAGCCGGGAUGGCGGCCUUGGUGAGCCUUGACAUUCUCUUUUAGACAGCAGUUUGUACGGUUAUCGUGUGCUUGCGAACGCCAGCCCGGUGACUACAUUUUGUUGCCUGAGAGUGUUUUGUUAGGGUCUCCAUCAGUAUGGCCAAAGUCAGUGGUGAGUGGUAAACUUUCUACCCGACCCGUCUUGAAACACGGACCAAGGAGUUUAACAUGUGCGCGAGUCAUUGGGCCAUACGUAACCCAAAGGCGAAGUGAAAGUGAAGGUUUGCUUUUGCAAACUAUGGUGAGAUCCUGCUGUCUCCUUUGCCACCUGGUAUUCGAACAGUAGGCGCAUCACCGGUCCGUCCAAUAUUGUAAAUUUUCUUUGGGGCGGAACAUGAGCGCACACGUUGAGACCCGAAAGAUGGUGAACUAUGCUUGCGCAGGUUGAAGCCAGGGGAAACCCUGGUGGAGGACCGCAGCGAUUCUGACGUGCAAAUCGAUCGUCAAACGUGAGUAUAGGGGCGAAAGA